CAGUCGCCACGGGAAUACGGAGGGCGCGAGCGUUACCCGGAUUUACUGGGCGUAAAGGGCGUGUAGGCGGCCUGGGGCGUCCCAUGUGAAAGGCCACGGCUCAACCGUGGAGGAGCGUGGGAUACGCUCAGGCUAGAGGGUGGGAGAGGGUGGUGGAAUUCCCGGAGUAGCGGUGAAAUGCGCAGAUACCGGGAGGAACGCCGAUGGCGAAGGCAGCCACCUGGUCCACUUCUGACGCUGAGGCGCGAAAGCGUGGGGAGCAAACCGGAUUAGAUACCCCGGUAGUCCCUGUCUCUUAUAC
rnacentral:rRNA from 1 species